AAAUUGAAGAGUUUGAUCAUGGCUCAGAUUGAACGCUGGCGGCAGGCCUAACACAUGCAAGUCGAACGGUAACAGGAARCAGCUUGCUGYUUCGCUGACGAGUGGCGGACGGGUGAGUAAUGUCUGGGAAACUGCCUGAUGGAGGGGGAUAACUACUGGAAACGGUAGCUAAUACCGCAUAACGUCGCAAGACCAAAGAGGGGGACCUUCGGGCCUCUUG
rnacentral:rRNA from 1 species